UGUUUGUGCUUUUUAACUUUUUUUUUUUUCAUUUUCUGGGGGCGGAAUUUAAAAGGAUUGGUUUCAUUUUGGUAUUAAAUUUGCAUGCAAUCUGCUGGAGGUGGUGGUGGUGGACCCAGCCGGGUGGGGCCGGCUGGGCGGGCGGCCUCCACGUCAUCAGCAGCAUCGCCAUCUUCGUCUUCCUCUGCAGUAUCGACGCCACAGUUAGGUUUCGACUCGGUACAGCAGCAGCAGCAGCAGCAGCAGCAAC
rnacentral:misc_RNA from 1 species